GAGUUUGAUUCUGGCUCAGAACGAACGCUGGCGGCGCGUCUUAAGCAUGCAAGUCGAGCGGCAAGAGAGAAGCUUGCUUCUCUCCUAGAGUGGCGGACUGGUGAGGAACGCGUGGGUAAUCUGCCCUUAAGAUGGGGAUAGCCGUUAGAAAUAGCGGGUAAUACCGAAUACACUCACUUUCACACAAGCGGAAGUGAGGAAAGGAAGCUAAGGCUUCGCUUAAGGAUGAGCCUGCGUCCCAUUAGCUUGUUGGUAAGGUAACGGCUUACCAAGGCGACGAUGGGUAUCCGGCCUGAGAGGGUGAACGGACACAUUGGGACUGAGAUACGGCCCAAACUCCUACGGGAGGCAGCAGCUAAGAAUAUUCCGCAAUGGACGGAAGUCUGACGGAGCGACGCCGCGUGGAUGAAGAAGGCUGAAAAGUUGUAAAAUCCUUUUGCCGAUGAAGAAUAAUGAUAAGAGGGAAUGCUUAUCAGAUGA
rnacentral:rRNA from 1 species